rnacentral:rRNA from 1 species
UGGGAUAACUUCGGGAAACCGGAGCUAAUACCGGAUAAUAUUUUGAACCGCAUGGUUCAAAAGUGAAAGACGGUCUUGCUGUCACUUAUAGAUGGAUCCGCGCUGCAUUAGCUAGUUGGUAAGGUAACGGCUUACCAAGGCAACGAUGCAUAGCCGACCUGAGAGGGUGAUCGGCCACACUGGAACUGAGACACGGUCCAGACUCCUACGGGAGGCAGCAGUAGGGAAUCUUCCGCAAUGGGCGAAAGCCUGACGGAGCAACGCCGCGUGAGUGAUGAAGGUCUUCGGAUCGUAAAACUCUGUUAUUAGGGAAGAACAUAUGUGUAAGUAACUGUGCACAUCUUGACGGUACCUAAUCAGAAAGCCACGGCUAACUACGUGCCAGCAGCCGCGGUAAUACGUAGGUGGCAAGCGUUAUCCGGAAUUAUUGGGCGUAAAGCGCGCGUAGGCGGUUUUUUAAGUCUGAUGUGAAAGCCCACGGCUCAACCGUGGAGGGUCAUUGGAAACUGGAAAACUUGAGUGCAGAAGAGGAAAGUGGAAUUCCAUGUGUAGCGGUGAAAUGCGCAGAGAUAUGGAGGAACACCAGUGGCGAAGGCGACUUUCUGGUCUGUAACUGACGCUGAUGUGCGAAAGCGUGGGGAUCAAACAGGAUUAGAUACCCUGGUAGUCCACGCCGUAAACGAUGAGUGCUAAGUGUUAGGGGGUUUCCGCCCCUUAGUGCUGCAGCUAACGCAUUAAGCACUCCGCCUGGGGAGUACGACCGCAAGGUUGAAACUCAAAGGAAUUGACGGGGACCCGCACAAGCGGUGGAGCAUGUGGUUUAAUUCGAAGCAACGCGAAGAACCUUACCAAAUCUUGACAUCCUUUGACAACUCUAGAGAUAGAGCCUUCCCCUUCGGGGGACAAAGUGACAGGUGGUGCAUGGUUGUCGUCAGCUCGUGUCGUGAGAUGUUGGGUUAAGUCCCGCAACGAGCGCAACCCUUAAGCUUAGUUGCCAUCAUUAAGUUGGGCACUCUAAGUUGACUGCCGGUGACAAACCGGAGGAAGGUGGGGAUGACGUCAAAUCAUCAUGCCCCUUAUGAUUUGGGCUACACACGUGCUACAAUGGACAAUACAAAGGGCAGCGAAACCGCGAGGUCAAGCAAAUCCCAUAAAGUUGUUCUCAGUUCGGAUUGUAGUCUGCAACUCGACUACAUGAAGCUGGAAUCGCUAGUAAUCGUAGAUCAGCAUGCUACGGUGAAUACGUUCCCGGGUCUUGUACACACCGCCCGUCACACCACGAGAGUUUGUAACACCCGAAGCCGGUGGAGUAACCUUUUAGGAGCUAGCCGUCGAAGGUGGGACAAAUGAUUGGGGUGAAGUCGUAACAAGGUAGCCGUAUCGGAAGGUGCGGCUGGAUCACCUCCUUUCUAAGGA